rnacentral:rRNA from 1 species
UACAGAGGGUGCAAGCGUUGUUCGGAAUUAUUGGGCGUAAAGGGCGCGUAGGCGGUGCGGUAAGUCUGCAGUGAAAUCUCUGGGCUCAACUCAGAGUCUGCUGUGGAAACUGCCGUGCUUGAGUGUGGGAGAGGUGAGUGGAAUUCCCAGUGUAGCGGUGAAAUGCGUAGAUAUUGGGAGGAACACCGGUGGCGAAGGCGGCUCACUGGACCGGUACUGACGCUGAGACGCGAAAGCCAGGGGAGCAAACGGG